rnacentral:rRNA from 1 species
GACAGAGGUGCCAAGCGUUAGGCGGAAUCACUGGGCGUAAAGCGCACGUAGGCGGCUUUCUAAGUCAGGGGUGAAAUCCUGGAGCUCAACUCCAGAACUGCCUUUGAUACUGGAGAGCUUGAGUCCGGGAGAGGUGAGUGGAACUCCGAGUGUAGAGGUGAAAUUCGUAGAUAUUCGGAAGAACACCAGUGGCGAAGGCGGCUCACUGGCCCGGUACUGACGCUGAUGUGCGAAAGCGUGGGGAGCAAACAGG